CUGCCUUCUUUCUUUGUUUCCCUUUUUUCCUUUGAAGGAUAUAAGUGAAAGAGAAGAGUCAUACUAAAACCAAUAGAAUUAGAGGAAAGAAGAAUCAUACCAGCAUAUGCUUUGGAUGAGGCAGGACAAAACUGUUCCAACUAAUCUGCUUCCCUCCAGCCAUGGAUGCUUCUUUUUCAAAUCAGGUGCUGCUUUGAUGUAAUUAAAAAGUUGUUGGAUAAAAUCAA